rnacentral:tRNA from 1 species
GGCUUUAUAUUCAAAAAUGAUUUUAAAUUGCAAAUUUAAAGGUGAUGUUUAAUCUAAGGCUU